rnacentral:lncRNA from 1 species
CUCGCCAUCUUCGUAAUCGCGUCGAUCACGUUCUUGUAGUCACGGCCGCCAGCCUGCAUCCGGACCAUGGCCACGUCGGCGGGGUUUCCGACGGCGGCACCAACUCCACCGGCGACGAGUCCAGCGAGAAUUUUUCGGGGCAGGGGUAGGUUUCCGGAGUUCGAGUCUGCCCAUCUGACUUUCAAAAUUUCGUAGAGGCCCAUUCGGGUGGUGGAGUAGAGAGUCUGGCGGAGGACGGUGGCGGAGACUCCAGAGAACAACGCCUUAACACCUUCGGUCUGAACAAUUUUGACUCCGACCGAGAUUGGACCGGCGCGUGCGGCGGCGGCCGGCGGAGGCGGGGCAACCAGGGUGGCAGAAUGGGAAUGAAAAGCAAAAGCAGGGCGGAGAUUGUGGAUGUGCUGGGGGGCGGCAGCCCGGGCGGGGUUGUUCUCGCCCUGGAGCUGCAUACGGACCUUGAUAAGAUCCAGCGGGUGGGUGGAGCAGCCGGCGACAAUGGAAGCGACGCCUCCCUCGACAAAUCCUUUGAUACCC